rnacentral:rRNA from 1 species
UCGAGAAUCUUCUACAAUGCGCGAAAGCGUGAUAGAGCGACGCCGCGUGCGGGAUGAAGGCCUACGGGUUGUAAACCGCUGUCAGAGGCUAUAAAACUACAGUGUAACGAACUGUACUGAUGUUAACCUCAAAGGAAGUCAUGGCUAACUUCGUGCCAGCAGCCGCGGUAAUACGAAGGUGGCAAGCGUUAUUCGGAAUCAUUGGGCAUAAAGGGCCUGCAGGCGGCCUAUUAAGUUAAUUGUGAAAUCCCUCGGCUUAACCGAGGAAUUGCUGUUAAAACUGAUAGGCUAGAGUGUUGGAGGGGUAAGUGGAAUUCUUGGUGGAGCGGUGGAAUGCGUAGAUAUCAAGA